GAUGAACGCUGGCGGCGUGCCUAAUACAUGCAAGUCGAGCGAACAGACGAGGAGCUUGCUCCUCUGACGUUAGCGGCGGACGGGUGAGUAACACGUGGAUAACCUACCUAUAAGACUGGGAUAACUUCGGGAAACCGGAGCUAAUACCGGAUAAUAUAUUGAACCGCAUGGUUCAAUAGUGAAAGACGGUUUUGCUGUCACUUAUAGAUGGAUCCGCGCCGCAUUAGCUAGUUGGUAAGGUAACGGCUUACCAAGGCAACGAUGCGUAGCCGACCUGAGAGGGUGAUCGGCCACCCUGGAACUGAGACACGGUCCAGACUCCUGCGGGAGGCAGCAGUAGGGAAUCUUCCGCAAUGGGCGAAAGCUUGACGGAGCAACGCCGCGUGAGAGAUGAAGGUCUUCGGAUCGUAAAAAUCUGUUAUUAGGGAAGAACAAAUGUGUAAGUAACUAUGCACGUCUUGACGGUACCUAAUCAGAAAGCCACGGCUAACUACGUG
rnacentral:rRNA from 1 species